GUGGGGAAUAUUGGACAAUGGGCGAAAGCCUGAUCCAGCCAUGCCGCGUGUGUGAAGAAGGUCUUCGGAUUGUAAAGCACUUUAAGUUGGGAGGAAGGGCAGUAAGUUAAUACCUUGCUGUUUUGACGUUACCAACAGAAUAAGCACCGGCUAACUUCGUGCCAGCAGCCGCGGUAAUACGAAGGGUGCAAGCGUUAAUCGGAAUUACUGGGCGUAAAGCGCGCGUCGGUGGUUCAGCAAGUUGGAGGUGAAAUCCCCGGGCUCAACCUGGGAACUGCCUCCAAAACUACUGAGCUAGAGUACGGUAGAGGGUAGUGGAAUUUCCUGUGUAGCGGUGAAAUGCGUAGAUAUAGGAAGGAACACCAGUGGCGAAGGCGACUACCUGGACUGAUACUGACACUGAGGUGCGAAAGCGUGGGGAGCAAACAGGAUUAGAUACCCCGGUAGUCC
rnacentral:rRNA from 1 species